GACGAACGCUGGCGGCGUGCUUAACACAUGCAAGUCGAACGGACCCUUUGGGGUUAGUGGCGGACGGGUGAGUAACACGUGGGUGAUCUGCCCUGCACUUUGGGAUAAGCCUGGGAAACUGGGUCUAAUACCGGAUAGGACUACGCACUGCAUGGUGUGUGGUGGAAAGCUUUUGCGGUGUGGGAUGGGCCCGCGGCCUAUCAGCUUGUUGGUGGGGUGAUGGCCUACCAAGGCGACGACGGGUAGCCGGCCUGAGAGGGUGACCGGCCACACUGGGACUGAGAUACGGCCCAGACUCCUACGGGAGGCAGCAGUGGGGAAUAUUGCACAAUGGGCGCAAGCCUGAUGCAGCGACGCCGCGUGAGGGAUGACGGCCUUCGGGUUGUAAACCUCUUUCGCCAGGGACGAAGCGCAAGUGACGGUACCUGGAGAAGAAGGACCGGCCAACUACGUGCCAGCCGCCGCCGUAAUAC
rnacentral:rRNA from 1 species